GCCGUCGCGGCCGCAUUGCUCAUUCUCAUGAAAGUUCACAUGAGAAUGCGUCCUUCAUGCGCCGCCAUGAUACUUUUUACAUGUUCUCCGCCAUGGCAGUUUCCAAUGCAUGCUUUUUUUAUAAAGGAAACACCGGUCAAAUUAAUUGUGGUUGAUUCGUUCUCCUCGGUGGUCAGUCGCAGUAAGAAAGAUCCUAUUUCACCCCCAGCCGACAAAAAUUUCAAACUGUUCAAUCAGCUCAAGUUAGGGGUCUAUCUCAAAGGAAAUCGUUUGUACAUUACGAAUUUGAUAUUAUUAUCGUUUGUACAAUCAUCAUUUAUUAGUUAAAGCUGCGGUAAGUAAUCAUUGUCAACCCCCCCCUCGCCCAGCAGAUCAUUGGUAGUUCCUACGUUAUCGACAUUAAUAUUUACAUACACUCUGGUCCGUUGUUUAUAUCGUUGUCCAUAUUAUUAUUCCAUUAUUUAUCCCAAUAAAUGAACAUUGAAUGCUUCGAAGUUACAGUUUAUUAAGCAUCAAUGGGUACAUUCGUUUUUUUUUCGAGCACGGAGGAAUACUUGUGUGCAGUGUUCUAUCACCUUGCAUUCUGACAGGUAGAAAGGGUUAUGGUUGAUUACAAUCAUUAGCAAAAAAUUUACUAAUGAUUUGCACCAGGAGAAGGUCCGCCGAUGUUGGCACAUGCCGAGUGAUUUCUCUCUUCGAGGGAGAAAUUGGCAAUCAGAUUAAAGUCAGAAGACCGACGAAGAUGAUUCAUAAACAUGCCCAAUUCUUCGCAGUCAGGCCGGAGAUGUUGAAGUCUGGGUGGCUGAAAGAUAUUCCGGAGCACUUGCUGGGAUUUGAGAAGCAGCUUGGAAGGCUGGAGAUGUUCUUGUCCGCAAAAAUACCAUCUUGGAGGGCUCAUCAGUCUUGACUGAUGCUGUGGUUGAUCCCAGGAUGUUCCUCGUGCAAACCGAUGAGUACGAGGGAACGUCCUUUGGGACGAUUUUUGGAGUUGUGGGGGCUCAGGGAAAUUCAUGUGGGCGUUGAAGUGCUCAGAUGCUGUUGUCCAGGUGACACCGUAUGGGAGGAUAAAGGGGGGACUCGCUGGGAAGCUGGGGAGGCACUGCAGGAUCCAACAGACCGAGUAGUCGCCCUCUCCGUCUUCGAGGCCUUCGCCAAUGUCGAGAAUAUGACUCCAGAGAUCCUGGAGAUCCUCUUCAGCAAGUCUGGCGAUAUGAAACUCUCGAAACGCCUGCAAAGCCCCCAAUCCCCUCCAUCACAGGCUCCAAGCUAUGGGGAAAACAACGAAGAGGUCGACUGCUCCGAUCGAGAGUCCUCGCUGAAUGAUUCUGAUGUGCCAGAAUGUCUGAGAGAGUCGACUGGACCUCGUAGAGAUACGGAGGACUCCCCAUUUCUAAUCCAGAUCUCUCUGAAUAACAUCUCAGAUAAAAAAAUUCACGCACCAGCGAGACUGCAGCCGUUCAAACUUCUGGGGGCUCUGAUAAACUGCCUCGAGGGAGAAUUCUCUUCAAGUUUCAUCUAAUACUCUUCAUCAAGGAGUUCCUGAUAGAAAGAAAAUCAAAAUAAAAUUUCAAUAAAAUAAAAAAAAAACAAUUUUCAACAACUAAUUUUGCCAAUAUCUCGUUAACUGUUGACUUCAGCGGAAAAUUUCACUCUACAUAUUCUUCAGCAAAUUCAAUUUUCAAGAAGAAAGAUAGUUUCAUAUUUUUCACUAAAACCAUGCCUGAACGAGAUAUUCGAGAUAAACGAAUUUCUGGCUUAAAUGAGAGGUAUCACAAGGGAAACUAGGCGCCCUGGAUGAGAGAAACUUCUCCAAAUCUCAAAAAUUAUGUCAUUUGUUAGAGAGAUACAAUACAUUUCUACUUUUAUCAUUUUUUUUUCACAAAAUAUGAGAGAAAUAAAGUGUUUAUUAGAACUGA